rnacentral:lncRNA from 1 species
CCAAGAGGUGGGAACAAUCUAAAUGUCCAACAGAUGAAUGAAUUUUUAAAAAGUGGUAUAUAUACAUACAUUGAGAUAUUAUUCAGCCUUAAAAAAGAAGAAAAAUCAUGGCCGGGCGCGGUGGCUCACGCCUGUAAUCCCAGCACUUUGGGAGGCCGAGACGAGCGAAUCACGAGGUCAGGAGAUGGAGACCAUCCUCAUUAACAUGGUGAAACUCUGUCUCUACUAAAAAUACAAAAAAAUUAGCCGGGUUUAGUGGUGGGCGCCUGUAGUCCCAGCUACUCAGGAGGCUGAGGCAGGAGAAUGGCAUGAACCCGGGAGGCGGAGCUUGCAGUGAGCCGAGAUCGCGCCACUGCACUCCAGCCUGGGCGACAGAGCGAGACUCCGUCUGAAAAAAAAAAAAAGGGAAAAAUCCUGCCACAUGAUAUGGUAUGGGUCAAACUUGAAGACAUUAAGCUAAAUAAAAUGUCAGUCACAAAAAGACAAAUAUUAUAUGAUUCCACUCACAUGAAGUAUCAAGUAAUCAAACUCACAGAAAAAGAAAGUAAAAUUGUGGUUGCCAAUGGUUCAGGGUGAAAAAAAAGGGAGUUAGUGUUUAAUGGGUAAGAGGUUCAGUUUCGCAAGACAAAAGAUUUCUGGAUAUUUGUUGCACAACAGUAUGAGUAUAAUUAAUGCUACAGAACUGUUAGAAAAGAGUCUCUUUCAGAUUUAGAUACUAGAAAAUGUAUGAGUAAAAUACGAUGUCUGAAAUUUGCUUUCAAAUAAUCUGAAGGCUGGUUGGGGAAGUUGUUGGAGUCAUACAUGAAAUAAAACUGGUAUUAGUUGACAAUCCUUAAAACUGAGUGGGUUUAUUAUACCAUUCUCUCUCUACUUUUGUGUAUGUUUGAAAUUUUCCAUCAUAAAGGAGUUUUUAAAAACCCAACAUUAUCAAAAUGAAAAAUAAUCAAUACAAGUGCUGGAUAAGAAAGUCAAGGAAAUAUCACAGAAUGUAUAAUUUAAAAGAUUUGCUGAGGUGUGUGUAUCACCUGAGCUCAGGAGUUCGAGACUAGCCUGGCCAAAAUGGCAUAACCCCAUCUCUACAUAAAAUACAAAAAUCAGCUGGGAACACUGGUGCACACCUGUAGUCUCAGCUACUCAGGAGGCUGAGACACGAGAAUCACUUGAACCCAGGAGGCAGAGGUUGCAGUGAGCUGAGAUCACGCCAUUGCACUCCAGCCUGGGUGACAGAGAAAGACUCUGCUUGGUCACUUUUUUGGCGGAGGAGAAUGCAGUUAAAAAGGACAUGUCCCCGGGGAUUCGAAUACACUUCUCAAAGUGUACUGCUGGCCCUCUGUAUCCAUGGGUUCUGCAUCUGUAGAUUCGAUCAACUCAACUCCUGGCUCAAUACUGAUGGAAGUAAUCUGCUUAACAAUCUCAGAAGGACUGUGCAAGUCAAUGAGUCGCUUGUGAAUUCUCAUCUGGAAACGAUCCCACGUCUUAGAACCUUCACCACAAGGAGUUUUUCUUGUAGUGAUUCUCAAAGUCUUGGUAGGCAUUCGAACUGGUCCUUUCACUUUGAGAUUCUUUUCUUUUGCGCCUCUUAUCAAGUCAGCACACACCUUUUCCAAGGAUUUUACGUUGCGGCUUGUUAGGGUGAUUCGAAUUCGGUGAAUUGCCACCUCCGGCUCCACGGGUGUUUUUCCGGUAUCCUUAAAAGCCAUGGCUGUUGCGCGCGGGCUUCCUGACCGACUUGUUCCUCGGCGAGAGCGAACAGCGGUGAGUCAGGAGCAGGAGCGUGCGGACCAAAAAUCCUCAGCCCUUACGACCGCGUCUUCCUCAAAAAGAAA